rnacentral:rRNA from 1 species
UACGUAGGGUGCAAGCGUUGUCCGGAUUUAUUGGGCGUAAAGAGCUCGUAGGCGGUCUGUCGCGUCUGCUGUGAAAACUCGGGGCUUAACUCCGGGCCUGCAGUGGGUACGGGCAGACUAGAGUGCGGUAGGGGAGACUGGAAUUCCUGGUGUAGCGGUGAAAUGCGCAGAUAUCAGGAGGAACACCGGUGGCGAAGGCGGCCCACUGGAUCGGUAUUGACGCUGAGGUGCGAAAGCGUGGGGAGCAAACAGG